CAGGGGGGGGAGGGUCCCUCACCCAGAUUGUGAGAGAGUGCUGGCCAGGUUGAGGGAACCCACCAGUGCAGG
rfam:Myotis davidii contig206828, whole genome shotgun sequence.